AGACUGGUGCAUCUUUCUCCCACAGAGUGGCUGGUGGGUUGAACUGCCAACCUUUUGGUUAGCAGCCAAGCGCUUUAACCACUGCACCACCAGGGCUCUUUAUACAUACUCCAAAAGAUUCAAAUUACAGACCUUUUCAGUUAUAAUCUAUUGUCAGUAAAAAAGGCCAUGUACUUGUAAAUCUCUCCUACUGCCAGAAAUAAUUUGGGUCAGAGGGGAGUUAACAAGAAUGACUACUGACUUACAGCAAUGUUCAUUGCAGCACUAUUCACAAUAACCAAAAGAUGGAAACAACUAAAUGCCCAUCAACAGAUGAAUGGAUAAACAAAAUGUGGUACAUACACACAAUGGAACACUAGUCAGCCGGUGCCCUCCCUAAUUGAAGAAAACGAGUAUUCGGAUUGUCUGCAACCCUUAGAGAGCCAAGGUGUGAUGCUUUGAAGAUCAAACCACAACUUGUAAGAAAUACUGGAAGGAAAUCUAGGCUUAAUUAAGACAAAUUUACCAUAAACCAUGAGGGGGUCUCUGGCUCUUAACUCAGCAAAUCAGGUGAGAAAUCUUAGGAGGGGAAGGUUGCAUAGCCAAAAUUCUAUCAGGGAUUGUUUUUGCCCUAGGUAAGAUUGACUUUACCACUAUGGGAAUGGUUGUGAAUUAAUACCAUAGUACUGUUGUUAAACCAAAUAAAAAUACUCCUCUUCCAAACCUUUUUCUGAUUAGCAUCCAAGCCUUAGCCCAUGUUAUUUACCUUUAGAAAGUCCUUCCUUGUCCAAAUCUUCCAACUAAGUCUUCCUUAUGCAUGAAAUUUUCCUAGAUCACUUUUUCUCCUUGACCAAAAAUAUCAUUUCUCUUUUGUGCUCCCAUACCUGAAUUACAACAAUUAAUGCAUCCUGCCUUGUUGGCAGGGACUGUCUUAAUCUAGCAGAGUGUCUUGAACAUAGUGGGAGCACAGCCUAAGUGGUAAUUGCUGAAAAUCAGCAGUAAUAGCUUUAUGAUAAAAUAACAUGCUCUGGAAAAGCCGAAUACCAGCUAGGUAAGUACAGAAAUGCCCAGGCUCUUUCCUGUUAAUUUAGGAAUUCUCCACCUUUUAGUAUUUCACUUAUGAGGGCUCCUAUCUUAUUACCAAAACCAAACCAAACCCAUAUUGCCAUCGAGUCGAUUGCAUCUCAUAGAGACCCUAUAAGGACAGAAUAGAACUGUCCCAUAGGGUUUCCAAGGAGCAGAUGGUGGAUUCAAACUUCUGACCUUUUGGUUAGCAGGAGAGCUCUUAACGACUGUGCCACCAGGGCUCCCGUAUCAUACUACCUUAUAUGCCUCAAGUCUUAACUGUCUUAAACCGUUCUUUUUUCUUUUCCUAAACCAAAGCCAUAAACCUGUGGGUAGGUGUAUGAAUUGUCAGAAGGCCUAUGAAAUUUUCAUACCUAUUUUUGAGGUCCAUGCGUCAUCUAAUUUUUUUUUCCCAACCAGAGUUGAAAAGUGUUCAAUAGAUAAUCUAUAUCUUUAAAAAUAGCACUGUUUUUACAUGACUUUGAAAAGUGGGUCUGACCCUGUGCUAAUCUGUUUCCAAAAGCUUAUGUUCAUAUAUUGACUUUGUCUUUUAUCCAGGAAGACACUAUGUUAGGACAACGUGUACUGACCCUUGUGUUCUUUUGUCUUUUUCUUAAUUCUGAUGAUCUCUAAGCUUUCCAAUGAAGUGAAACACUAUGAGGCAUGUAACUUAACUGUUUUCUGUUGGCCUUUAUUUGUAUGUCUCUGAGGAGAUAGGAGAUGGUAAUAGAAUGGAAGUCCUUACAUUAAAAAAUGCUUUCCAAGAAACACCAUUACGAUAAUUGCAAAAACAAAUGUACUGAGCUGCUGUAAACUUUGAAAGUGACUCUUUAAAGUUAAUGGAAUGCUUCUGAAGCCCUCUGCUUGCUGGAGCCACAUUAUUGAGUAAAGUAGGCUUUCUUAUAUACUUUCUUGGACAAUUUUAUGAGAGACAUCCAAGUCACUUCAAAAAAGCUUUCAGAAAUCUAAGAAGGCAAAGAAAAUUGUGGAUCAAAUGUAUGGCAUUUUUUCACUGCUAGGACAUUUGUUUUAAGUCAUAUUUAUAGUGUAAAAAAAUAUUUUUACGUACUUUUAGAGCUUUUAUAUAAAAUGUAUAGGACAUUUAUACAUAUAUAUAUGUUUUCAAGAACCUGAUGCAUAACUUAUUUUUUCUAAAGUCUAUUGUUGCUGUUGGGUUUUGGUUUGGCUUUGAGAGUGGUUGUAUAUUUGUUACACUUAACAUUUAGCCAAAAUCGGGAAUUAAACCAGUAAUUAAAAAUGGUUCCUAUGGUGAAGCAGUUUCCCCUCUAUAUUGAUUUGCCCUAUGACCAGGUUUCCAGGCAUGAAUUUUGACACCACUACCGCCCCCCUAAAAAAGGCGAAAGCUGACUAUACUACGGGGUACCUAGAACACGUGAAGAAGGGACUGAGACUGGAAGCAGACGAAAGACAUUUUCUGUACAGAGCAGAGUACCUGACAACAGCUCACUCUAGUAGAGGGCAAUAAAAGCCACAUGAGAAGAUUCCUUCAGCACAAAACUUCCAGUUACGUCUAACCUACAUGCAUGGUCUGCUGGCUCCUACUAUUUUUUCAUAACUUCUAAAUUAUGGAGGUAAGUCAAGAUUUAAUAUUGAUUAUAGUUAAACGACAUUAAUUCUGAACUUGUAUUAACAUUUCUUUAAUUACCAAGCACUGGUAUAGCAUUACAUUAGCAAAUUAUGUAUAUCCCAGCUUUGGUUGGGUUACUUUACUCUGAUUAAAUGUAUAAUUUUCUGUAACUUUUAACUAGUUAGUAUUUCUAUAUACAUCUAUAUUUUUAUAUAAUUCUUUGUGGAAUUAUCCAUGUAAACUUCUAAUAGAAAAUGCCAUGUUUGUUUUUUCUGUAGUCUUUAACUUGAAUCAACUUUUUUAGAUUGUAUUAUAUAAAGUAUUCUAGUCCAUCUUUGAAUCUACUAUAAUUCUUGUUUUUACAUGUGCCUGUUUACUGGGCUUUCCAAAUUUUUCAGUUCGGUUUAGUUGAGUCUAUUGGAUGCCCAACACUGUGGGGGGGAUAUAAAGACCAGUAUAAAGCAAAUACCAGUCCUCUCUUAAAAGAACUCAUGGAACCUCAGACACUGCAACCAGACUUUUUUGGGUUCUCUUAUUAAAGGAAGGAUGAGACAGACCUCUUCUGUUUGGCUUCCAAAUUGGGAACCCAAAGAAAUUGAAAUUACCAGAAGUGUUGUGAAAUGUUGAGAGUAACAUGAAAUAGAAACACGUGGUAUUUGGUGUGUUUUAUAGCUUAUUGGUAAAAAGCCACUUGUUUUAAUGAUUUCUGGAUUUGAGUGUUGGUAUGAAAUUUGAAGGUGAAGAAGGUCCUAUAUGAUUAGACAAGUCUUAGGCAUAGAUAACAUUUCAGUUUUGGGAGCAAAAUCCUAUCUUAUUUUGCUGCGUGUUUAGUUGUUUUUUAAUUUUUUUAUCUUAUGCCAUGCUUAAUACUCAUUUCCCAUUCACUCAUGUAAGGUAUUUGCUUUUAUCCGUUAAAAGAUUUUUUGUGGGUGAAUCUAUUUUGUUGUUCAUAUAAAUACUAAUGCAUUUUCUAAGCUUAAAAAUUAUGAGACGAUGACUUUUGUGAUGAAAUUUAUACUUAACUUUUAUAGUACCUUUAAGUCUGAUAAACUUUAAUGUGCCGUUGUAGUGAUUCUUCUGUAUAUGAGAUGAAUUAAUAGGUGUAUAUGAUGAUAGAACAAGGUUUCAUUAGGGUUGGCUAGGGACAAGCUUCUGCCAUUAUUCUAAUUUAAAAUAAAAUUCAAUUCAGUCAAGAAGUGGUGCUAUAUGGAAAUGUUGAAGUUUGGGGUUUUUUGUUUGUUUUUCCUUAAAAGCAGGCAAGAGUUUUUAAUUUGCCCGUGGUACAUCUAAAUCUGCCUAUUUUCUUCAAACUAAAUUUUCCUGCCUCCCUUACUAAAACAGGACUCAACUUUAUUUGUAUGUCUUGGCAUCCCAGUUACAGUGUCCACUCCAUUUUGGAAUGAACACAAGAGCUUACUGAGAUGAUAUUGACAGAUGCAUCUCUAGAUGACAUAAUCUCUGAAGUAUUUACUGAAAUAAGAAACUCAACAACCUCCGAAAGCAUACUUUCCCUAAUGAAUAAUAUGUAUUUUCUAAAUU